rnacentral:siRNA from 1 species
GAGAGUGUCACUUUGCGUCUUCU